UUAGAGUUUGAUUCCUGGCUCAGGACGAACGCUGGCGGCGUGCCUAAUACAUGCAAGUCAACUGAAACUAAGGUGUAGCAAUACACUUUAGGGACGGUGGCGAACGGGUGAGUAACACGUAGGUAAUCUGCCUCGAGGUCCGGAAUAACCCGCUGAAAGGCGAGCUAAUACCGGAUGAUGCAGCGGCUCCGCAUGGAGACAGUUGUUAAAGCUUCGGUGCCUCGAGAUGAGCCUGCGUCCCAUUAGGCAGUUGGCGGGGUAACGGCCCACCAAACCUACGAUGGGUAGCUGGUCUGAGAGGACGAUCAGCCACACUGGAACUGAGACACGGUCCAGACUCCUACGGGAGGCAGCAGUAAGGAAUAUUGCUCAAUGGCCGAAAGGCUGAAGCAGCAACGCCGCGUGAGGGAUGAAGAUCUUUCAGGUCGUAAACCUCUGUAGUGAGGGAGAAAUUCUCCGGCUUGCCGGAGUUUGAUAGGACCUCAAAAUGAAGCCCCGGCA
rnacentral:rRNA from 1 species